AGUUCGAUUAUGGCUCAGAUUGAACGCUGGCGGGAUGCUUUACACAUGCAAGUCGAACGGCGGCACGGACUUCGGUCUGGUGGCGAGUGGCGAACGGGUGAGUAAUGUAUCGGAACGUGCCUAGUAGCGGGGGAUAACUACGCGAAAGCGUAUGUAUGCAUACGCCCUUCGGGGGAAAGCAGGGGACCUUCCGGGCCUCGCACUAUUAAGAGCGGCCGAUAUCGGAUUAGCUGGUUGGUGGGGGUAACGGCUCACCAAGGCGACGAUCCGUAGCUGGUUUGAGAGGACGACCAGCCACACUGGGACUGAGACACGGCCCGGAGCUCCUGCGGGAGGCAGCAGUGGGGAAUUUUGGACAAUGGGGGAAACCCUGAUCCAGCCAUCCCGCGUGUGCGAUGAAGGCCUUCCAGGUUAUCAGCACUUUUGGCAGGAAAGGAAACGGCACGGGAUAAUACCCCGUGCAACUGACAGUACCUGCAGAAUAAGCACCGGCUAACUACGUGCCAGCAGCCGCGGUAAUACGUAGAUUGCAAGCGUUAAUCGGAAUUACUGGGCGUAAAGCGUGCGCGAGCGGUUCGGAAAAGAAAGAUGUGAAAUCCCGAGCUUGCUUUGGAACUGCAUUUUUAACUACCGAGCUAGAGGUGACAGUGGAGGAGGUGGGUUACUGCAUCAUAGCAGUGAAAUGCGUAGAUAUGAAGGAGACACCGAUGGCGAAGGCAGCCUCCUGGAAUGACUUUUGACGCUCAUGCACAAAGCGUGGGGCAAGACAGGAUUAGAUACCCUGGUAGUCCGCGCCCUAAACGAUGUCUUAGCUGUUGGGGCCUUCGGGCCUUGGUAGCGCAGCUAACGCGUGAAGUUGACCGCCUGGGGAGUACGGUCGCAAGAUUAAAACUCAAAGGUGCAGCGGGGACCGCAGCCGGUGGAUGAUGUGGAUUAAUUCGAUGCAACGCGAAAAACCUUACCUACCCUUGACGUAUCUGGAAUUACCGAAGGGUUUUGAAUGCUCGCAAAAGAGAACCGGAACACAGGUGCUGCAUGGCUGUCGUCAGCUCGUGUCGUGAGAUGUUGGGUUAAGUCCCGCAACGAGCGCAACCCUUGUCAUUAGUUGCUACGAAAGGGCACUCUGUAGGACAUGGUGAACGAGCCGGAGGAAGGUGGGGAUGACGUCAAGUCCUCAUGGCCCUUAUGGGUAGGGCUUCACACGUCAUACAAUGGUCGGACGGUGUAACCCGCGAGGAGCCAAUCCCAGAAACCCGAUCGUAGUCCGGAUCGCAGUCUGCAACUCGACUGCGUGAAGUCGGAAAUCGCUAGUAAUCGCGGAUCAGCAUGUCGCGGUGAAUACGUUCCCGGGUCUUGUACACACCGCCCGUCACACCAUGGGGUGGGUUUUACCAGAAGUAGUUAGCCUAACCGUAAAGGAGGCGAUUACACGGUAAGUUCAUGACUGGUGAAGUCGUAACAAGAGUAA
rnacentral:rRNA from 1 species